UAGCUGUAUUUCACUAUCUUAAAUUCAAAAUUUCAAUUUCUUCUCUCUCUCAGUCCUUUCUCUCAUUCUCUCUCUCUCUUCCUUUCUCACUUUCUCUCACGUUUCUUCUCUUCCCUUUUCUUUUUCUUUCUUUCUUCUUUACAAACCGGAUGGUACUCUAUGAUACUCUUGGAGCGUUUCUGGUAUGUCCACGGAAACUUACGGAGCUUCGAAACUACUGAAGAUGUUGUAGUUAUUGUAUGUCACUCUUCAUGUUAGGGUUUGUGGUGAAUUUUGUGCAGGGAAGAUUUGGAGUAUAUAAAGGGUUUUGGUUUUGUGGCUAGGGUUCAAUAACGGGAAAAUUACGGUUUUAAUUUUAUAGAUUUAUCAUCGGUGUUCGGUCGAAGAGGUUGCCGGUUUGAACAUUGUUGCUGUUUUAUUGUUAUAGUGUCCACAAAAUCAAUGUUUUGUUGUUGUUGGUCGUAAACAAGCAUCUUUGAAAUUGCCUUUAAUGGUGGGAACAUAUUCGGUGUCGGCUUUGCUUCGUCAAGUGCAGGUUGGGAAUUUUCGUAAGCUUGCUAUCUUGAUAUGAAACAUGACUAACUUUCCAAUAACAGUUCCAAGUUCCAAAAAAAUUUUGUUUAUAUAUCAUCCUUCUUUUCUUCUUCUAAAUUUUUGUGUUGGGUUGCAUUUUCUGUAUGGAUUAGGUUUGAUGCUUAUAGGACUGGUUUUGUGUGUUGUUGUAGGGCUUUUCAUGAGUAUUUUGAUGUUGCCCUGUUCGAAAAGUUUGAGAGUGCAUAUGACUUCAUUUUUCAUUUAUAUAACUUUGAAUUUGCACUUGAUUUUGGGACUAAAUUGACUGAUGAAUUGUUGAGUGAUGCCCUGAACGUAUCCCGUACAGGUUCCGAGAUGAGGUUGCCCGGAGUCGAGAGCGAAGUUGUCUGGAACAUGGAAACCCAGAAUGAAUCUUGCACCAUGAACUUCACUGGAUGAAAAGUCAUAUUAUAGAUGCAUGUGUACUGUUCGAAGAAAUGCCAAAGAGGAUAUUAGAUGCUCUUACUGCACUAAUGCUCUUGCUGCAUCACUUCAGAAACCAACGAAAGAUAAGUAGUAGCUGCAGGUUUUAUUGAGGAACAUGGUCCUUGGAUGAGGAACAUGGUCCUGUCACAAGUGUUAGGUGGGCUCCCGAUGGUCGCCACUUAGCCAUUGGUUUGAACAAUUCCCAUGUCCAGAUAUGGGAUGUCACCUUUACUAAAAAGAUGUUACUUUUUGGUCUAAUUCAUGGAGAGGCACAUUGAUAGAUGAAGUUUUGGCCAUGGUUUAUGUUCGAGAAUGGCUGCUAAACUGUAAGAAUCAAGGCUUUUCUAACAAUUUUUAUGUUAAGCUGUAUGAAUAAGAGCAAUUAAAACUUUAGUAGUUCCUAUUGAAACUUGACUCAGUAUAGGUGUAUGAUGGCUAAUUAGUUUUAACUCUAGCUGGUGGCUCCAAGUAGUAUUCUUUAAAAAAUUGAUGUUUACUUAUAUUUGUAACAAGUUUGAGAACUUUUAGUCUUCUUGCUGUUGUUAAGGAGCAGCAGAUCAGUAAGGAUUAAGAGUUUGGGCCUGAUAUUUUGAAGUUAUGAAUUAGUAAGAGAUUCAUUUCAAUUAUUCAUAUAUUUUUUUCUAUAGAUUAUAAUAUCAUUGAAUAACGGGUUAUAUAUUCUCUUCGGGAUAUAAACUAUUAUGGCCAAAGGGAUGAAACUUAAAAGAGAUGAUCUAACUAGCAGCAGAAGCGAAGCAAGAGUCGGUACCGCCUAUGAUUGCGAGUUUAGCUGGAUUUGAUCAUUUCUCUUUCAUUUGGUUUUAAUCGUUGGUUUUAAUCUAAAAUAUAUUAAGGUGUAUCAGUUAUGUUGUUUGUUUUUCUGGUAAUUUAAAUGCUUAUUAAAAUUAUUUCAGUCUUAUAAUCUUCUUGCAUCAAAGUUCUUCAUGUCAUUUUGACUCCCUAUUGAUUAAUAUAAUUACAUACCUCGACUAAUCUAAAUGUUGAAGUUUCCAUGUGUAAUUAUUAUGUGUAAUUUUCAAUCUACAAGUGGUUGGAUUUGUUUUUGGUUUGAGUCUCCAUAGAAGGGCUUCUCAUGUAGAGUGUCCAGUUUUGUGUGGAAGUCUUCUUAGCAGCGGCAAACAGCAAAUAGGAUUUCGGCUCGAUGCAUGAAUAGUGAAUCAAGAAUAUGUUUGGUUCCCUGGCAAAUUUAUUUUGCGUAGUGGUGGUUCAGAUCCUGUUGGUUUUUCAUCUGUUAGUUUUUGUGUUGUUAUUUCAGGAAUGCAGUAACUUAAUGAUGUUACAUUGUUGUAAGGACAUGUUCAUUUCAACUGUUUUGUAUUGCACUAUAUUAAGAUGUUGAUUUGGUUGUGUUUUUAGAUUGUUUUAUUGACUGAUGAUGAUGAUGCUGGUUUUAGGGGAAGGAUUAUUAGUUCAAGAAGGUGAAAGGAUUAGAAGUUUGGAGCCUGAAACCUCAGAGGAUGAGUGGAGGUAGUCUCGAGCUAGAUCUCUAGCAAUGAGUGUCUCAACAAGACUCACGUAUAGUCUUGGAAAGCUGCAGGUGGAGCGUAUAGCCGAUUAUCAAUUUGAUUCAAUAUUCAUUGAAGAUAUCCCCGAUGCCAAAGAGGAAGAAAUUAUGAAUUCAUUUUGAUUGGUACUAUUAACAAGUGAUCUGCUUCCAAAUUCCUAUGACGAUUAUCACACAAUGAUGAGGUAAUUUGUCUGACUGAAGUUAACUUCACUGCUGAACAUUUGAUGGCUCAAUUUGACUUGAAACAAAUAAAAAUAUCAUUGAUUAUGCUGUUUGGAUCUUAUUGAUUCAUAUGUCAAGGGUACAACUUUUACUUUACCUUAAUUUAAUCAAGGAAAAUUAAUGGCACAAACGUGCAACUUGAUGCAUAUUUCUGGAUAGACAUUGUAAGUUUCGCCUCUUUAAUAUGUUCUUGCUUUCAGUUUGCAGUAUUCUUCUCUUUUAAUAUAGGGUUGAAACACAAGUUUAAUUGAAUGAAUUAUUUAUCUAGAUUGUUGUCCAUUAAUGUUUUAAAACCUUUCCAGAAACUCCUAUCGAGGAGAAUAGUUUUUUUUACAAGUUCAAGAGAAUGGAUGAAGACUAUUUCCUAUACAAGUUUUUGUUCAAAGAGAAAUAUUUUACACAUGCUGUGUGUUACAGGCUCUGUUGUUUUGAUGCUGCAGGUUUGUAGGGUUACUUUGUUCUCCUCUCAUGGAUGUCAGUUUAUUUCAAAAGCGUAAUUACAUGGCAGUCUUAAUCAACGCUGGAUACCCGAUAACAAUUAUCCGUAAAUUGAUGCAGGUAUGUCAAACGGUAGCUAUAACGGGGCUAUAUGGCACUCUUGCCUGACAGAAUUUUAACGUACUAUUAUUUUUCUGCUGUUUCUGGUUUGUUCUUAUGAAGCGGAGAUUUUUCAGUCUGCAACCUAUCCUCACAACUGUUUUGCUAUUCUGCAGAUAAUGACAAUGAAGCAUUGAUAGCAGAAGCACUAGCAAGUAUUGGAGCACAUAUUGCUUGUGGCUAUAAAAGGGUUGUAGAAAUUCAACUUAGCAUCAAUCAUUUGAAACCAUAUGUGAUUGGUGACUUUAUCCAUGCUGAAGUAACAUCCUUAACUAUUGGCAAAUCCAUCCAGGUUCAUGCUCCUCUUAUUAUGAUCAUGGUUUUAAAUAAUGGUCGCACUCGCAUUGCGACCUGGUCUGUACAGAUGUUGUUGCAACACUGAUUGUCGUCAUUAAAUUAGCCUUAAUUUGUUCACCUUGGUUCUUUAUCAUUUAAACGGGGAAUUACAAGUAAGAACUAAGAAACUCUCAGCUCACUGACUGGUCUUUAUAUAUUAUUGUUUGGCAAUAGUUUAUAGCUGCUCGUUUAAUUUUAACAAAUAGUGUUAUGUUAUGGCUUUUUCAUUCUUUAUUGAUUUUACCUUAUAGGCUGAAAAUGAUGCAAUAUGCCAAGAACUUCAGAAGCAAUUGGAAGCUGCAGGUUUGUCAAUUAUUUUCUAUGUGUAUUUUGAGUUCUCCUGACACGUUAAGUGUUAAUUCAUGUUAAAUCGGAAAAAAAGAUUUGUUGAGUGCUUCACAAUUUAUAUUCUUUGAAAAAGAUGCCGAGGGUAUAUUAUAUUUAUGCAAAGCAAAUAGCAGAAUAGUGUUAAAUUUAAGAGAAUAGAAUAGAAAGUAUCAAAUUGGUUUGUUCAGGUAAAGAGCAUUUCAUAUGCUAUACUGCCGCAGUUAUUUGGGGACAUUAAUUUGCCAGUGUUUUUGUUUCUCCUGUUAAUUAAUGACCUUUAAUACCUAGAAGCCUAGAUAUGUAGUAUGACGCUAAUCAUGUAUGAAAUUUAAAAAGUGAGAGUGUGGGUCAUGCUCAAAGGAACGGGAAACUCUCAGGAAGGGUUUGCAGCCCUUCAAAACAUUUUAGGGAAGACUAGGAGGAGUGGUAGUGGCAGGUUAUAGGAAUUGAUGUCUUACAAGGAUGGUGGCCACAAUCACGUUGCAACAAAUAUACUUUCGAAUCAGGAACAAGAAGUGUUACAGGAAAAUAAAGAUGAUGAAGUUGAUGGUGAAGAGGUUAGUUUGCCAAUGAUGCAAGAAAAUGAAGAUGAAGAUGAUUCCAAUGACGAUGGUGACGAUGAAGAUUAAUGGCUACUAAAUUUUCAUGUCUUUUUCGAAAAAAAAUUAAUGGUUUUAAUACAUUUAUAUUUUCCAGUUCGUUAUUAAAGAAUGCAUACUAUUACUAUUAUGCAUCAAGUCAUUACUCAAUACUUUGCAUCAGACUGGAAUUCCAGCACAUGCACAUUCAUCUUUGUUAUUAAUAUGAAAUUUGAUACUUUAUUAUUAUGAUUUGUUAAUAAUAUAUAGAGAUUAAUAUUAAGUGUUAUACAUCAAUAGAAUUCUACCACAUUCAUCUCAUCUCUGAUAUUAAACAAUGGGUUCAAAGUUAUUUGAGAUAAUUAUAUCUCUCAUUCCUAUAUGCUUUCUACCAGAGUUGUUAAUCCUGGCCGCUCCAACCGCUCCAACCGCUAAGGAGAAAAAUAAUACUAUUGUACAUAAACAAAACAACUUUACUACUGAUCUAACUUUAGUAUAUGACAAAAAUUAUUAUUGUAAUAAACACUAACAACUUUACUACUAAUUUAUCUUCUAAAUAAAAAAUAAAUUAAUCAAUUUUUUUUAUUUUACAAUUUCAUUUUUCUUUCAUUUCAUUUUUAUUAUGUAUUAAAAACAAAUUCGCGUCCCGUACCAGUACCCGUGCGUACGCACGGGUAUCCCGCUAGUUUGAAUCAAAAUUACUAAUCAAUGUAAGUAGAAGAUCCAAGGUAGAUUUAUUCUUUUUACUAUUAGUGGAAAUCUUGCACAUAAAAACUUUUGAGUACUCCAUAUCUAAUUUUACAAGUGACUUGUAAUCCAGGAUGAUUAUAUCUCCAACUAAACCUACGUGUAAGUAUCAUAAAAUAAAGCUUUACGGCAAAAGACCUUCACUUUAACGUAUUUGA